rnacentral:rRNA from 1 species
GAUGAACGCUGGCGGUGUGCCUAAUACAUGCGAGUCGAGCGAACAGACGAGGAGCUUGCUCCUCUGACGUUAGCGGCGGACGGGUGAGUAACACGCGGAUAACCUACCUAUAAGACUGGGAUAACUUCGGGAAACCGGAGCUAAUACCGGAUAAUAUAUUGAACCGCAUGGUUCAAUAGUGAAAGACGGUUUUGCUGUCACUUAUAGAUGGAUCCGCGCCGCAUUAGCUAGUUGGUAAGGUAACGGCUUACCAAGGCAACGAUGCGUAGCCGACCUGAGAGGGUGAUCGGCCACACUGGAACUGAGACACGGUCCAGACUCCUACGGGAGGCAGCAGUAGGGAAUCUUCCGCAAUGGGCGAAAGCCUGACGGAGCAACGCCGCGUGAGUGAUGAAGGUCUUCGGAUCGUAAAACUCUGUUAUUAGGGAAGAACAAAUGUGUAAGUAACUAUGCACGUAUUGACGGUACCUAAUCAGAAAGCCACGGCUAACUACGUG